GUAGGUGGCAAGCGUUGUCCGGGAAUUAUUGGGGCGUAAAGCGCGCGCAGGCGGUUCUUUAAGUCUGAUGUGAAAGCCCACGGGCUCAACCGUGGAGGGGUCAUUGGAAACUGGAGAACGUGAGUACAGAAGAGGAAAGCGGAAUUCCACGUGUAGCGGUGAAAUGCGUAGAGAUGUGGAGGAACACCAGUGGCGAAGGCGGCUUUCUGGUCUGUAACUGACGCUGAGGCGCGAAAGCGUGGGGAGCAAACAGGAUUAGAUACCCUGGUAGUCCACGCCGUAAACGAUGAGUGCUAAGUGUUAGGGGGUUUCCGCCCCUUAGUGCUGCAGCUAACGCAUUAAGCACUCCGCCUGGGGAGUACGGCCGCAAAGGCUG
rnacentral:rRNA from 1 species